ensembl:rRNA 5S_rRNA 5S ribosomal RNA
CCCUACAGCCAUGCUACUCUGAAUGUGCCUGAUCUUGUCUGAUCUCAGAAGCUAAGCAGUGUUGGGCCUGGUUAGUACUUGGGAGGGGAGACUGCCUGGGAAUACUGGAUGCUGUAGGCU